CCUUGAGUCAUGUUUUCGAACGUGCCGAAAUGACUUGGGCUCCUAAGUCAGAAGUGACUUAGAGAUGUGAGUUUGUAUCGAUGAAAACACCCUCAUGCCUUGCUUCAUUCAGCCUCACUAGGUGUCUCUCUGCACCUUUAGAUGCCAAAGGACAAGACCUGAGGCAACACCCAGGCAAAACUUUCAGUUCAUCUUCCUUUUACUGCUAUUCAGUUACCUCACAUGCAUGGUGGUAGGAAAGUUUCCGGAGUAAUGUUAGAAAUACACACACACACAUCCACGUCUCCCACGCAGAAACAUUUAAUUCUUUGUGAGAUUUAUGGAGAGAGGAGAGAAUGUUUUGGGACAGCUACUGCUGGCUUUCUCCCUUCCUAAUUCCUGAUGCCAAAGUUAUUUAUUUACAGAGCAAAUCUCCCAGAGCUGGCAGAUUCUGAUCACACUAAGCUGAAGAAAUAUGUGCACUCUUCUGCCAACUAGGGAGAUAUUUCUCAGAGAUAAUCCAGCAGACUGACAGGACAGCGUCUCUCUGGAAAUGUUUCCCGACGAGCUGGUGAAGAACUCAGCUCUGCUGUUUUCGAUGUCUCCUCCUGGGCCAUGCCACAGGGCCUGGAGUCCACCAACAUGCUUCUCUGCCGGGGCAGUGAGGUUCAUGGCGGCUUCCCACAAUGAUGCGACAAGUGGACUUCUGACACCGUCCUGAGCUAUUUUCUACAGAUUUGCAGCAGACUUGCUAGAAGCAUGAAUUAGAACGGCUGUAGACAGUUCAGUUCCAAUGUGUGCGUUGAGGAAAUGCUCCUGUGAACUCAUCAUCUGAGGAUUUUGCAAUAUAUUCCUUGUCAGCAGUCACAACGAAGCACUUCAGGGACUAAGCCGCAGCAGCACGGUUGGAUGACAGAAGCCAUAAACAGCUUGCCAUGGCCUACGAUUAAAAUAGAAAAUCGCUGAUUUAAGUUACAGCACAAAUCCCGUCACAGAACUUGGCCCAAAUUCACACAAGUGCUUUCUGAGUUCAGAGAGAAUUCACAGUUUGAGGAGAGGUCACGGCAAUUCCUGGCUUCUUGCCAUGACAGUUCAUCAGAAAAUAAUUACAAAAGUCAAAUUAGUGAUGCUUGCAAGAUGCCUGUAAGUACUGGGAAGAAUGCAUCAUGUAAGGUAUUGCUAUGCUUUCUCUGAUAGCUGCUUCUGCAGAGCGCUGUCUUUUCUCAGCCGUUUGACGGCUCAUUCUUCUAUACAGAAGCAGAGACAAUUCAACUCUCAGUCAAAGAGCAUAACGUCCCAUACAUAUUCUUUGCAAUAAAGCAAAAAUCCUGGCAAAAUG
rnacentral:lncRNA from 1 species